CUUGGGAUACCAGUGGGACACCAUGUACCUAAGGCCUGUACAUUCUCAGAAUUAAAGCCUGUGUUAGCAUAUCUACCACUAUUUAUAAUAAAAAACCACACACAAAAUUUUUCAUUUCACAGUGUGAAAGGAAAUAAAUCACUGGUACUUGAAAGCUCAAAUAAUAAUUGUUUAAUCUUUCCUAAGAUAAAUUUAGGAAAAAGCCUACCACUCAGAAAAGUACAACCACAGCUACACAUUUAUUUUCAUUGAUAGACACAUUUUUGGUAACUGCAAUGCUACACAAACUGACUGUAAACUUGGCAAUUUUUGGCAUAAUUGGCUCAAUAAAAAUCAUAUGACUAGCCUCAGAAUAUGUAAAUAAGCUACCUCAUCUCAUUCACCCAGAAUUCUUGUCAUUUCUUGUAAUGAAAAAAGCCACCUCCCAAGGUAAUCAAUGAUCCCUUGAAAGAUUGACAUAGCAGAUUACUGCACAGUAUUUGACAUAGCACUAGCCUAUUCAUGAUGCAGUAUUCAAGUGGGGAAAAAGAAAAAUCACACAGACCUACCCUGUGUAGGACACUCGUAUGUAUUAGUACAGCUGGUUUUGUACAUAAACUAAAAUUAGUUCAGACAUUUGAACAAUGCCUGAAGGUUCUACAGACCAGUUCAAAAACUCUCUUUAUAUAUUACUGAAUUAAUUUCACUCAUUUGGAUAUGACAGUUUUCUGCACUGUAGUUUGCCUUCUCCUUUGUACAUUUUUAUUAUAAGUAAUCAGCAUAAUUAAGAUAAUUUAUUGACUAAGGAUCCGUACUGCCAUUAAGGGGGAUACACUGAAAGUAAUUGUUUGCCCACUCCUCAAGGUUCUAUGUUGUCAGUUUAAAGCUCUCAUCAAGCUGAAAAUCUGAACUGUGAAGGAAGGAAAUGGUGAGCUCAAGACCUUUUUGGGGUACCUUAUGCUCUCACCCCCACUUUAAGUGCCUAUGGGAAAUGAACCCUAGAAGUCCCCAGUGUUUUUACAGAUAAUAUAGACAUUGCUCAAGGAUCUAUGAACAACAGCUGAAGUUAGCAGGGAGAUGGAGAUGAAUUUCUGUUUUAACUGAAGGAGACCUUGUUCAUUUGCAGGAAAACUUGUGCGAUGAAUCGGUGCUUAUCUACUCACAGGCUGUUUUAGUGGCCAGCGUUGCUGGUUGGUACCUGGAUGAACCCACCCUCUCAUUUUUAACUUCCACACUUUAACAAAAUUAUGACUAAUUUUUAGCUUUGCAUUCUUGCUAUCACUAUCUUUUGCUAAUUCCAGGACUGAAGAAUAAAAUAUUUUGCAAUACUAAGGAGGGGAGCCGUAAAACCAUCCGAAAGUGUGUACAGAAAUUAGACUGUCACUUUGGCAUGGGACUCUGCAUGGAACUGUGAGGUCUUCCUUUCAUGUCUGAUGAUUCCCCAGUGGCAGUUACAGAGUAAAACUUGCAGAGUUCCCUCUUUUCUUACCCCAGCUUGGCCCCUAGCAGUUGUAUCCUGGACAGGGAAGGUAUACAAGAUCUCACUUUCAAGCACAAGGCUGGAUGUAAGAUUAAAUUAACCCACAUAUUGGCUUUCUUUCAGAAGGGAAGGACAAAUGGACUAAUAUAAUAAAUUAUGCACCAAAGUCACAGAAUGCUUCCAGCUCUGGUUGUAGUUUAAUGUAUGCAGCUCAUGCUGGCAGGAGUCCCACACUUCCUCUGUUUCUGCCUGUUCAUGAGGAUGCAGCAAAGCCAGAAAACUCAAGAAAGCGGAAAACCCAAGUGACAAAAGUCAGCUACAAAGACACAAAGCAUUUGUAAGCCCUGGGGUUCUGCCAUGAAUGACACAAUCACCAGGCCACUGAGGAUACACCUCACAGGAAUUUCCUGCACUGGUUUGUUUCCUAAAGCCAGACUUUUCAUACUCCCUGCAGGACAGACACCUCUGCACUUUAAGAAACCUUCUGCAGAUAUCCCCUCUACACUGUCCUUUUGGCUACAAGGCUAAGCUCAGAGCAAGACUAAAAAGACAAACAUUUUUAAGGCAUAGGCAUGCUCACACUGAAAGCUGUGUGUUUCUCCAAAUGACUGGAUUCCUACAAAACAAUUUCUGCAGAAAGCAUUUGUUUACAUCAAUCAUUAUUCAGAUACUUUCCUCCUAUCAAGGUGUUUCUGUCCUUGCAGAUAUAUUCAAAACUUCAUUUACAAGGCUCUGAGCAGUGAGGUCAGAAAAGUGAGGCAAAAACUCUAUUGUCAAGCUGUCAAGCAUUAGCCAAAGACUAAUGAAGGCAGCAAGGAAGUAACUAAAGCAUCAAGAAGUUACUUCUGAGAGAAGGCAGCAGCCUUUGCAGCUUUCAGAAGUGAAGUCUGAACUGAAAGUAACAGUUGGAAAACUAAAGAGACGUAAUAACAAUAAUAAAAUAAUA